rnacentral:rRNA from 1 species
UCCCUCGCGGAUGGAGCUGAAAUCAGUCGAAGAUACCAGCUGGCUGCAACUGUUUAUUAAAAACACAGCACUGUGCAAACACGAAAGUGGACGUAUACGGUGUGACGCCUGCCCGGUGCCGGAAGGUUAAUUGAUGGGGUCAGCGCAAGCGAAGCUCUUGAUCGAAGCCCCGGUAAACGGCGGCCGUAACUAUAACGGUCCUAAGGUAGCGAAAUUCCUUGUCGGGUAAGUUCCGACCUGCACGAAUGGCGUAAUGAUGGCCAGGCUGUCUCCACCCGAGACUCAGUGAAAUUGAACUCGCUGUGAAGAUGCAGUGUACCCGCGGCAAGACGGAAAGACCCCGUGAACCUUUACUAUAGCUUGACACUGAACAUUGAGCCUUGAUGUGUAGGAUAGGUGGGAGGCUUAGAAGUGUGGACGCCAGUCUGCAUGGAGCCGACCUUGAAAUACCACCCUUUAAUGUUUGAUGUUCUAACGUUGACCCGUAAUCCGGGUUGCGGACAGUGUCUGGUGGGUAGUUUGACUGGGGCGGUCUCCUCCUAAAGAGUAACGGAGGAGCACGAAGGUUGGCUAAUCCUGGUCGGACAUCAGGAGGUUAGUGCAAUGGCAUAAGCCAGCUUGACUGCGAGCGUGACGGCGCGAGCAGGUGCGAAAGCAGGUCAUAGUGAUCCGGUGGUUCUGAAUGGAAGGGCCAUCGCUCAACGGAUAAAAGGUACUCCGGGGAUAACAGGCUGAUACCGCCCAAGAGUUCAUAUCGACGGCGGUGUUUGGCACCUCGAUGUCGGCUCAUCACAUCCUGGGGCUGAAGUAGGUCCCAAGGGUAUGGCUGUUCGCCAUUUAAAGUGGUACGCGAGCUGGGUUUAGAACGUCGUGAGACAGUUCGGUCCCUAUCUGCCGUGGGCGCUGGAGAACUGAGGGGGGCUGCUCCUAGUACGAGAGGACCGGAGUGGACGCAUCACUGGUGUUCGGGUUGUCAUGCCAAUGGCACUGCCCGGUAGCUAAAUGCGGAAGAGAUAAGUGCUGAAAGCAUCUAAGCACGAAACUUGCCCCGAGAUGAGUUCUCCCUGACUCCUUGAGAGUCCUGAAGGAACGUUGAAGACGACGACGUUGAUAGGCCGGGUGUGUAAGCGCAGCGAUGCGUUGAGCUAACCGGUACUAAUGAACCGUGAGGCUUAACCUUACAACGCCGAAGGUGUUU